rnacentral:rRNA from 1 species
UACGGAGGGGGCUAGCGUUGUUCGGAAUUACUGGGCGUAAAGCGCACGUAGGCGGCUUUGCAAGUUAGAGGUGAAAGCCCGGGGCUCAACUCCGGAAUUGCCUUUAAAACUGCAUCGCUAGAAUUGUGGAGAGGUAAGUGGAAUUCCGAGUGUAGAGGUGAAAUUCGUAGAUAUUCGGAAGAACACCAGUGGUGAAGGCGACUUACUGGACACAUAUUGACGCUGAGGUGCGAAAGCGUGGGGAGCAAACAGG